UCAUUAUGGUUUCUCUUCAGAACAAAUAAAUCUUUUGCCUUUUAUUAAAGAUUUCCACGAAGAGGAACAGAUGUGAGUUAGUAAGCAAAUUUUUUGAAGUCCUGCUUUGAGCAGGGCC
ensembl:snRNA U5 U5 spliceosomal RNA